rnacentral:rRNA from 1 species
AUGUUCUUCAUAGUGUUCCUCAUCUUAUGUGGCAGAGUAGUGAUGGAGGUAAGGUUGAGUUUCAGAAGGGAGCUUGUGGGACUGGAGCGGGCCGAGUGGGAUCACGUGCGGGCUUUGACUGCGACCGUCCGCUUAUCGGACUCCGCAGACGAGGUCUCUUGGAGACUCCCGGGCUCUGGCAAGUUCACUGUCAAGUCAAUGUACAGGGAGUUGUGCCGCGGGCAUGCCCCUAUGGCAGCCUCGGGGCUUUGGAAGGCGCGAAUCCCGCUAAAAAUUAAGGUCUUUCUUUGGCAAUUAUGUCAGGAUCGCCUUCCUACCUCUAUUAAUAUAGCCAAGCGCAAUGGCCCUGCUUCCGGACCGUGUGCUUUGUGUCAUAACGCGGAAGAUGCUGACCACGCGUUUUUUCGCUGCCCUUUGGCGCGGUUUGCUUGGAGUGCGGCCAGGGAGGCCGCUGGGGUGGAUUGGGAUCCACGCUCACGCUCUGAGCUUGUGUCUUACUUAUCCGCGAUCCCGGGCUCUUUGCGCCGGAUAAUGUGGACGUGUGCUUCGGCCUUGCUAUGGGCCUUAUGGCAUAUUCGUAACAAGUUUACUAUUGAGGGAGCGUUUCCCUCUCACCCUGCUGAUGUUAUCUUCAAAUGCAUCUUAUUCUUGCAGCAGUGGGCUACGCUGGGAAGGCAACAGGAUGCUGAUCUCCAUCGACAUGCCAUCGCUCGGCUCCGCACAGUCUACUCGGUGUCCCGGGCCCCGUCGCCUCCUCCGUCUGCUGCCUUAUAG